GCGCCCGUAGCUCAGUUGGUUAGAGUGCAUGCUUGACAUGCAUGAGGUCGGAGGUUCGAGUCCUCCCGGGCGCA
rnacentral:tRNA from 1 species